rnacentral:lncRNA from 1 species
UAAACAUCUUGCCUAAAAGUAGGAUCUUUGUUUUUAUUCAGAUGUUUUGAAAGUUUAGAAAAGUUUUUUAUCCUACUUGUAUUAUUUCUCAAAUAUAGUCAGCAGGAAAGUAUAACCUGUUUUAUAUGAAAUGUUUGAGGAAAUUUUAAAUUCUAGAAGAAAGUUAUUUAUGCAAAUAUGUUGGCCACGUAUAUUUUUUUCCUGUCCUGCACUGAAUUACAUCAAGUCUAUUAAAGCUUUUAAAAGUACCACUCUCCUUUGUGGGAAAAAAUCCCAUUACUGAUUUAUCUGCCCUCAAAAUCUAAAAGUUAAUUCUAAUUGAGUGCUAAAUUAGCAAUAGGUAGUCAACACAAAGAACUAAAAUCUAACCUCAGUGUGUCACUGUAUCUAUUUCUCAUAUUUGAUUUUCAUUUUUCUAAUUAGAGCAUUUACUUACUUUAACCAGUAACAAACUAUAUAUAUAAUAUUAUAUAUAUGAGAUCUAUAUAUAAUAUUAUGUAUAUGUGUGAUAUAUAUACACAUACAUAUGUACAUGUGGAUAUCUAUAAAGUUGUUCUGGUGCUUAAUUAAUGAGGAUCCAUCCUAUUACGUAUUUUGAAUGUUUAUCCUACUGGUGUGAUGACUAUUUUCAUAAAAGCAGAGUAGAAGCAACAGUUCUCCAAUAGUUUUCAUUUGGUAAUUGCAGGAAAACCUUCUUAAGUUGCCCUCAUUUAAUUUUUCUAAUUAAUACAUUCAUACUUUUAAAUUAUGUCCAUAAUUUUCUUAGCUGAAAAAGAGUGGUAUUUUAAAAUAGUUUUCUUAUCCAUGUGGCUCACUGCGUCUUCAACCUGACAGGGGAAAAGGUACCCAGGUGUCCUUCUCAGAUAGGUGUUCGAGAAGAGAUUUGUCCAAAAGCUCAAGAGCCACGUGAGCCAAGAUGGAGCCACAGCAAGGUGACCCCCACCAGGCAGCAGAAGCAGAGGCCCAGUGUCACGUGGUGGCAUUUUAUUUCACUCUCUUUGGGAACCGCGAGGUUUUCCCACAGACUCGACAGGCAGUGGAGUAGUGUGAUGUGCAAACCAGCGGCUCUGAGAUGAUGACAUGGCUGUAGUCAGAAAGCUUCCGUUCAAGACUGAAGUAGGAUGUUGUAAAUGAGCGAUGGCAUUUUCUUCAGUGCUCCUUGUGAUGGUUUCUCUGAGUCCGUGUGAUCUGAGGAUGCCAUUCUUCUGAAAGUAUUGAUUCUGGUACCCGGCCAACCCAGCUUUGGCAGCUAGAAGCACAGUAGGUACUGAUGGCUAUUUCCUGGAAAUCUUGACAGGCUUAUUGUACUGUGUAAUUGGGAAAGUUCAAGUGUAGUGUUGGUAUUAAUAAGUAACUGCUGUGAAAAAUAGGAACAUGUGUCUAAGAAUAUCAAAUAUGGCUUUUUUUGCAGUGAAUUCUAAAUUUCUUGUCCUUCUAGUAGUAGUUUUUUGCUCUGCGUUGCACCCUUUCUUAAAUACAUUAUUCUUGACAGCGGCAUUAGAUAAGUCGAACACACUUAGAAAGUGUUUGACUUAAAGAGAUUAGUCCAGAAACCAUGAUGAAUUAGAGUCUUCGUCCGGAAUUACCAAAGUAAAUUUAAAAAAUUGUGGUCGGGAAGAGAACAAAUAUUCAUAAGUGGGUUUUGUUUUUCCUACUGCUCAUUUUGAAGUCUGUCUUUACAUCCACUCUCUAAUAUUUACAAAGUAAUUCAUUGUUUUUCCAGGUUCUUAUUUUAUUUAAGAAAUAGUAGUUCAUAUUCCUCUUAAUGUCAGAUGAAACGAGAAAUACAAUUUUUGUUGUGAAGGCAGUUUUUUUAAAGCAUUCAAUUUGGUAAUCAUUUAUCUUAAUACAGUUAGAUUAGAUUUUUCUUUGCUCCCCAUUUAUAUACUAUGGAUUUUUUUUUAAAUGUCUUCUGCUUGGUUUUUAUCUCAGUCACCUUGCAUAAUGGAUUAUAAAGGCUGGUAAUUGUCAUUCCUCAGAUGCCUGUAUGUUAAAUUAACAACAGUAAAAUGUUUUCAUGUUGUUACCUUUCAAAUAGUUGUGUUGUAUUAACAUGCCUCAUGUUUUCAGGGGAAACAUGAAAAUAGGUAAACAGAUAGGAAUUUGCAUUUCAUUGUUCAUGCAUUUUUUCCCUCAUAAAAAUAGUUUCCAAAAAAAAGUGACGUGUUGUCUGUUAGGCGAUCCUGAUCAGUCUCAGGAUACUUAACUCGAAAAUACUCAAAAACACUCAAAAAUAAUUCAUGACGCUUAGCAGCAUUUUCACUCAUCCCCAAAGGUCUUUGUAAUGGUCAAAAUGUUCAAGUCACAAAAGAGAGAGAAAGUUGGUUUUCAAUAUUGGGAAUUUUUAAAGUUUAAGUCCAAAAAUAUCUCUUACUGGCUUCAACAUCUUAGAGUUUUUCGCCUCCCUGACUCUCGUCCUUUAAAGGAGUGAGUCUAAAGAAUGGGGACAUGAGGCCACUAUUUCUUCCAGCCCUGCUUUCGCUCCUCCUGCGCAGAUGCCCCUGUGUCGCUUUGCAGAGCACCACCGCAAGCCUCUCCCGCACCCAGCUCUGCUGUUUCUGCUUUCCGCAGCACGUCCCACCACGUCUUUCUCAAUCCCAUCACAAUCCUCAGCGGCACAGACGCCGCAGAGAACUGCUCCCCACCACGCGAGGUGAGCCGGCAGUGCUCCCCGCUCGCACUUGCCUGCGUCACGGGCCACGGAGAGAAGGCCACAGACCCACCUGGGGAAGCAGAUGCUGAGUGUUGUCUGUCACGAGCUCUGCUAAAACACUUUUGCCCAGAUCUUUCAUGAGAAUGGUUGGCACCAAAGGGCCGUGGCAAAGAACCUCUUGUUGAGGACCCAAACUCCCAAAUGCAGAAAAAUUAGCCCCAUGCUCUGAUGGGGUGAGCUCACUGUCCCCCACAAGGUACUGAGAAGGCCUUGCAUCUCCUCAAGUUCCAGCAAAGCUAAAUCCUUGGAAUGGCAGACCACUAGUUACCUGUAGAGUAGGAGGACACUGAUUGUUUUGAGGGGAAAAAACCCUUUCUUGUAAGAAUUCAUCAUUCAUAAGGUAAAUUGAAUGGAACCUUUUUCAGCCAUGCAGCUAUGAUAGCCUCUCCCCCCGGAAAAUGAUGCUUAUGAAUGAUGUCUGUGACAACUGGGUUGACCUACUGUCCCAGGUCUCAAGGAAACCAGAGAGUUCACGUAUCUAACCGUGGAGGUACCAGAUAUUGAGGAUAACUUGGCCAUUUACAGGCCAACUGUCUCAUAUUCGGAAUGAGAAACCAAGGGCCUUUUAGGUCCCCACACAGGGGAGUGGGGAUCGGUGGCUGCAGGUCUGCCUUUCUAAGCACCUGAGGACCCAGGAUGUGUUUCCUUUUGAUUUUUUAAACUUUCCUCUUAGUCAUCAUAGUUAAUUAUCUGAAUGGAUAUUCAGGGGUGUAAUUUUUUUUUUCCAAAUUAACAGAACAGAUAUCAGCUCGUUUUCUUUUAAACAUUAAAUGUAUAAAGUCCACCUCGUACACCAGUUAGACAUCCUUAAGGGGACAGUUAAGGCUAACAGGCCAGUCUCGGCCCCUGGAGAUGGCAGUUCGGAACCAUCUUCUUAUAAUGUCUGGUUUGGUUUUGUUUGUUUUUUAGCUCAGCAAGUUGGAAACCAUGAGUUUAAAACAAACUCUUUCCUUUUCCUUUUUAAAGCUUGAGAAGAAAUUUUUUUUAACUUUAGCUCCCCAUUCAGGCAGCAGAGGCUUCCCCGAGCGACAGCAGUGCCCUUCCCUGGCCGGAGACGAAAACUAAAAGCCUGUGAGCCUGUAAAGGAUUUUGAGCAUUCCUUUCAGUUUUUAUAUAUUUUUAAUGUAAAACCCAUAAAUGAACUUGACGUGAUAUUCAUGACCCAUUGCAGAAAUUCGCUUGCUCUUUUUGCAUUUAUGUGUUGAAUAAAGGCUUCUCUUGUUUGUCCCGGAGCCCCAGUAGAAGCUUAAUUCCUCUGGGCUGCUGCGUGAGCGCCCGCGGAUGUCCUGGAAAAUGGCAGCACCGUUAGCUGAGUUGGUCCCUUAGGGAGACGUGUGCUAAAGACGUGUGCGAAAAAUGUCAGGAAAGCUGAAUUUUAUGUUCAAGCCAACAAGCGUUUGAGAGGGUCUUGUAUGCCUCCGAUUUUGACAUUUUUUCUUUUUUCCUGAGUACCAACUCUGUGUUUGAUUCCUGGGGUGGCAGGGGUGGGGGGGUGGGGGGAGCAGGGAUUAGCAGUAAAAUUUGAACUAAGUGACAUGGGCCAGACUCCUUGCCCCCGACUGUCUCCAGAAAAUGUAUUUCCUGACUCGCUGUCUACCACUCUGAGUCUCUUAGGGAGCAAACAGUAAAUGUGUAUAAAUGAGACAGAGUAUCUCAAAGAUUUAAAUUCUUGUUUAGAUAUUUUCUCCUUUGUAAACUCAGGAACAAAUCCGGUUUGUGGAUAGCAUAAUAUGGCUAGUAAUGCUGUCAUCUGUAGGUGACUAGGUGCAUCCUUUCAAAUAUAUUUUGUUUAAAGACUAACUUUGUUUUAACCGAGAAAAGAAACUCCUCGAUAAAAAAAAAAAAAGCUAACAAAAGACUUCCAUAAUCUCUUUCUAGAAGAGUUGUGGCAUCAGUCUAACAUCCACCCCACAGCGUUUGUUUCUUGCCUAUCAGUAUUUCAACAAUUUUUAUGAGAGAAAAAAUUGCACAUUUUUUGUUUCUUGGAAAAGUGAAUUGAGCUGUUGAAUUAAAUUCUCAGAGGGGACAAUUUAGUCAAAGAAGCAUUGGUUUGGGAGAUGAGAGCUCACGGCUCUGUGGUCCCUGUUCCAGCACUGACUUUACUGUGUGACCCUGAGCAAAUGAUUUAACUUCUUUGUGCCUCAGUUUCUCCAUAGACAAAAUGGGGAUAAUGAUACCAACCAUUGCCUACCUCAUUGGGAUGUGAUGGGGACAAAUGAGAUAAGACAGAUCUUGAUCGUUCAUCCAGUAAUCGUACCUGAGGAAGUGAAAUGGAUAUGUUUUCUGUGUGUUUCUGCCCAUAGUAUUUCUAUUGUGGAUGUUCCCAAAAAGCUGGACUUUCAUUUGUAAUAUCUUAUAGUUUACAUGUAUGAACCUUAUUCAAGCUGUAUAUAAAAGUAUAAUCACGUGUAAAUAGCAGGUACAUUGUAAUUAAAGGCACUUAUCAAAUUGUC